rnacentral:rRNA from 1 species
UACGGGGGGGGCAAGCGUUGUUCGGAAUUACUGGGCGUAAAGGGCUCGUAGGUGGCCAACUAAGUCAGACGUGAAAUCCCUCGGCUUAACCGGGGAACUGCGUCUGAUACUGGAUGGCUUGAGUUCGGGAGAGGGAUGCGGAAUUCCAGGUGUAGCGGUGGAAUGCGCAGAUAUCAGGAGGAACACCGAUGGCGAAGGCAGGUCUCUGGGCCACUACUGACGCUGAGAAGCGAAAGCAUGGGGAGCGAACAGG